rnacentral:rRNA from 1 species
UACGUAGGGCGCAAGCGUUGUCCGGAAUUAUUGGGCGUAAAGAGCUCGUAGGCGGUCUGUUACGUCUGCUGUGAAACCCGACGGCUCAACCGUGUGGUCUGCAGUCGAUACGGGCAGGCUAGAGUUCGGUAGGGGAGACUGGAAUUCCUGGUGUAGCGGUGAAAUGCGCAGAUAUCAGGAGGAACACCAGCGGCGAAGGCGGCGCUCUGGGCCGGAACUGACGCUGAGGAGCGAAAGCGUGGGGAGCAAACAGG